UACGGAGGGGGCUAGCGUUGUUCGGAAUUACUGGGCGUAAAGCGCACGUAGGCGGCUUUGCAAGUCAGAGGUGAAAGCCCGGGGCUCAACCCCGGAAUUGCCUUUGAGACUGCAUCGCUAGAAUUGUGGAGAGGUAAGUGGAAUUCCGAGUGUAGAGGUGAAAUUCGUAGAUAUUCGGAGGAACACCGGUGGCGAAGGCGGGUCUCUGGGCCGAUACUGACGCUGAGGAGCGAAAGCGUGGGGAGCGAACAGG
rnacentral:rRNA from 1 species